rnacentral:rRNA from 1 species
ACUUUCAACAAUGGAUCUCUUGGUUCCGGCAUCGAUGAAGAACGCAGCGAAAUGCGAUAACUAGUGUGAAUUGCAGAAUUCCGUGAAUCAUCGAGUCUUUGAACGCACAUUGCGCCCCCUGGUAUUCCGGGGGGCAUGCCUGUCCGAGCGUCAUUGCUGCCCAUCAAGCACGGCUUGUGUGUUGGGUCGUCGUCCCCUCUCCGGGGGGGACGGGCCCCAAAGGCAGCGGCGGCACCGCGUCCGAUCCUCGAGCGUAUGGGGCUUUGUCACCCGCUCUGUAGGCCCGGCCGGCGCUUGCCGAACGCAAAUCAAUCUUUUUCCAGGUUGACCUCGGAUCAGGUAGGGAUACCCGCUGAACUUAAGCAUAUCAAUAAGCGGAGGAAAAGAAACCAACCGGGAUUGCCUCAGUAACGGCGAGUGAAGCGGCAAGAGCUCAAAUUUGAAAGCUGGCUCCUUCGGGGUCCGCAUUGUAAUUUGCAGAGGAUGCUUCGGGUGCGGCCCCUGUCUAAGUGCCCUGGAACGGGCCGUCAGAGAGGGUGAGAAUCCCGUCUGGGAUGGGGUGUCCGCGCCCGUGUGAAGCUCCUUCGACGAGUCGAGUUGUUUGGGAAUGCAGCUCUAAAUGGGUGGUAAAUUUCAUCUAAAGCUAAAUACUGGCCGGAGACCGAUAGCGCACAAGUAGAGUGAUCGAAAGAUGAAAAGCACUUUGAAAAGAGAGUUAAAAAGCACGUGAAAUUGUUGAAAGGGAAGCGCUUGCGACCAGACUCGCCUCCAGGGUUCAGCCGGCAUUCGUGCCGGUGUACUUCCCUGGGGGCGGGCCAGCGUCGGUUUGGGCGGCCGGUCAAAGGCUCCCGGAAUGUAGUGCCCUCCGGGGCACCUUAUAGCCGGGAGUGCAAUGCGGCCAGCCUGGACCGAGGAACGCGCUUCGGCACGGACGCUGGCAUAAUGGUCGUAAACGACCCGUCUUGAAACACGGACCAAGGAGUCUAACAUCUACGCGAGUGUUCGGGUGUCAAACCCGUACGCGCAGUGAAAGCGAACGGAGGUGGGAGCCCCCUCGUGGGGCGCACCAUCGACCGAUCCUGAUGUCUUCGGAUGGAUUUGAGUAAGAGCGUAAAUGUGGGGACCCGAAAGAUGGUGAACUAUGCCUGAAUAGGGCGAAGCCAGAGGAAACUCUGGUGGAGGCUCGCAGCGGUUCUGACGUGCAAAUCGAUCGUCAAAUUUGGGUAUAGGGGCGAAAGACUAAUCGAACCAUCUAGUAGCUGGUUCCUGCCGAAGUUUCCCUCAGGAUAGCAGUAACGCGAAUUCAGUUUUAUGAGGUAAAGCGAAUGAUUAGAGGCAUUGGGGUUGAAACAACCUUAACCUAUUCUCAAACUUUAAAUAUGUAAGAAGCCCUUGUUGCUUAGUUGAACGUGGGCAUUAGAAUGGAGCGUUAUUAGUGGGCCAUUUUUGGUAAGCAGAACUGGCGAUGCGGGAUGAACCGAACGCGAGGUUAAGGUGCCGGAAUGCACGCUCAUCAGACACCACAAAAGGUGUUAGUUCAUCUAGACAGCCCGACGGUGGCCAUGGAAGUCGGAAUCCGCUAAGGAGUGUGUAACAACUCACGGGCCGAAUGAACUAGCCCUGAAAAUGGAUGGCGCUCAAGCGUGUUACCCAUACCUCGCCGCCGGGGUAGAAACGAUGCCCCGGCGAGUAGGCAGGCGUGGAGGUCCGUGACGAAGCCUUGGGAGUGAUCCCGGGUCGAACGGCCUCUAGUGCAGAUCUUGGUGGUAGUAGCAAAUACUCAAAUGAGAACUUUGAGGACUGAAGUGGGGAAAGGUUCCAUGUGAACAGCAGUUGGACAUGGGUUAGUCGAUCCUAAGGCAUAGGGAAGUUCCGUUUGAAAGGCGCCCUCGUGCGCCGUGUGCCGAAAGGGAAGCCGGUUAACAUUCCGGCACCUGGAUGUGGAUUCUCCACGGCAACGUAACUGAACGCGGAGACGUCGGCGGGGG